rnacentral:rRNA from 1 species
CCUACGGGAGGCAGCAGUGAGGAAUAUUGGACAAUGGGCGGGAGCCUGAUCCAGCCAUGCCGCGUGCAGGAAGACUGCCCUAUGGGUUGUAAACUGCUUUUGUACAGGAAGAAACACUCCCUCGUGAGGGAGCUUGACGGUACUGUAAGAAUAAGGAUCGGCUAACUCCGUGCCAGCAGCCGCGGUAAUACGGAGGAUCCAAGCGUUAUCCGGAAUCAUUGGGUUUAAAGGGUCCGUAGGUGGAUGAUUAAGUCAGAGGUGAAAUCCUGCAGCUCAACUGUAGAAUUGCCUUUGAUACUGGUUGUCUUGAAUUAUUGUGAAGUAGUUAGAAUAUGUGGUGUAGCGGUGAAAUGCAUAGAUAUCACAUAGAAUACCGAUUGCGAAGGCAGAUUACUAACAAUACAUUGACACUGAUGGACGAAAGCGUGGGGAGCGAACAG